AUGGAGCAAGCAAGGGAUCACUUACACCUGAGAUGGACUACAGAACAGCACAUGCCCGAGGUGGAAGUUCAAGUCAAAUACAGAACAGCUGCACUGAGCAACCAAGAGUGUCAAUUGUACCUGAGGCAUUCUCAGCAGCAGCAAGUGCUUGUGGUGGAUUUCCAGGCCAAACUGAGACAGGUAUUCAUAACUGAGACACCAAGAUGUGGU
rnacentral:lncRNA from 1 species